GACAGGGGUGGCAAGCGUUAUUCGGAAUUAUUGGGCGUAAAGGGUGCGUAGGCGGCAUAUUAAGUCAACUGUUAAAAACCUCGGCCUAACUGAGGAUCAGCGGUAGAUACUGAUAUGCUAGAGGAUGGGAAAGAGAAGUGGAAUUCUUGGAGUAGCGGUGGAAUGCGUAGAUCUCAAGAGGAACACCAAUGGCGAAGGCAGCUUCUUGGCCCAUUUCUGACGCUAAUGCACGAAAGCGUGGGGAGCAAACAGG
rnacentral:rRNA from 1 species